rnacentral:piRNA from 1 species
UGGGACUUGUUGGCCUGGAGGUACUGAAG